rnacentral:rRNA from 1 species
UACGUAGGGGGCAAGCGUUGUUCGGAUUUACUGGGCGUAAAGGGCGCGUAGGCGGCGUGACAAGUCACUUGUGAAAUCUCCGGGCUUAACCCGGAACGGUCAAGUGAUACUGUUGUGCUAGAGUGCAGAAAGGGCAACUGGAAUUCUUGGUGUAGCGGUGAAAUGCGUAGAUAUCAAGAGGAACACCAGAGGCGAAGGCGAGUUGCUAGGCUGACACUGACGCUGAGGCGCGAAAGCUAGGGGAGCGAACGGG